rnacentral:rRNA from 1 species
AUGAAACACCAGCAAUGCGAAACUGGACAUACAGGAAGAACACAAAAUAGGAAAAAUUCUCGAUCCGGCCUUAAGGAACCAGCAGCGCUGCUUGCUCCCUUGGCCCAGCUCCUUGCUGUGGAGGACGGCCGAGACUCAGAUGCGGAGCUCCCUGCACAUGACGUAUUGUAUAAAUGCUUGCAGCAACAACAGGAACUCGCAUACCAUAGAACUUGCGUGGUAGUGUAUCAGCACCCCAAAGGACGCAUUACAAAAUUCUCAAAGAAUGUUGCCAAAGGGAUUAACCUCACAGCAACCUGA